rnacentral:rRNA from 1 species
AACGAACGCUGGCGGCGUGCCUAACACAUGCAAGUCGAGCGCGAAUGGAGCAAUCCUAGUAGAGCGGCGCACGGGUGCGUAACACGUGGGUAAUCUGCCUCAAAGCCCGGGAUAACCUGCCGAAAGGCAAGCUAAUACCGGAUAAGCCUACGGACUCUUCGGGGUCUGAAGGAAAGGUGGCCUCUGUAUACAAGCUAUCACUUUGAGAUGAGCCCGCGGCCCAUCAGCUCGUUGGCGGGGUAACGGCCCACCAAGGCAACGACGGGUAGCUGGUCUGAGAGGACGAUCAGCCACACUGGAACUGAGACACGGUCCAGACUCCUACGGGAGGCAGCAGUGGGAAUUUUGCGCAAUGGGCGAAAGCCUGACGCAGCAACGCCGCGUGUGUGAUGAAGGUCUUCGGA